rnacentral:rRNA from 1 species
UACAGAGGUCCCAAGCGUUGUUCGGAUUCACUGGGCGUAAAGGGUGCGUAGGUGGUUAGGUAAGUCCGGUGUGAAAUCUCCAGGCUCAACCUGGAAAUGGCAUUGGAUACUAUUUAGCUUGAGGAGUGGAGGGGGGACUGGAAUUCCCGGUGUAGCGGUGAAAUGCGCAGAUAUCGGGAGGAACACCUAUGGCGAAGGCAGCUCGCUGGGACGUUACUGACGCUGAGACGCGAAAGCGUGGGGAGCAAACAGG